rfam:Mus musculus chromosome 9, GRC primary reference assembly.
UGCAUAUGCUUUUGUAUUUUGUUUAACUGUAGACAAAGACUUCCUCAUCUGUGGGCAACAAAUGAAUCCUUGUGUUACAACCCAGAACUCAUUAUUCAGUAUGUAUUUUGUAUAUUUAAGAAGGAACAUA